rnacentral:rRNA from 1 species
CGCACAUAAGACAUGCAAGUCAACGGAAGUCGUUAUAAAUGGAAUGAAGAUUUUAUCUGAGUGAAGUUUUGUAACAAUGGCCUUUUAGUGGCGGACUGGUGAGUAACGCGUAAGUAAUCUACCUAUUAGAGUGGAAUAACAAUGAGAAAUCAUUGCUAAUACCGCAUAUGCCAUAAUGAAAGGCAUCUUCAUAGUGGGAAAGGAGCAAUCCGCUAAUAGAUGAACUUGCGUCUGAUUAGUUAGUUGGUGAGGUAACGGCUUACCAAGACGACGAUCAGUAGCCGGACUGAGAGGUUGAACGGCCACAUUGGGACUGAGAUACGGCCCAGACUCCUACGGGAGGCAGCAGUCGGGAAUAUUGCGCAAUGGAGGAAACUCUGACGCAGUGACGCCGCGUAUAGGAAGAAGGUUUUCGGAUUGUAAACUAUUGUCGUUAGGGAAGAAAAAGGACAGUACCUAAGGAGGAAGCUCCGGCUAACUACGUGCCAGCAGCCGCGGUAA